rnacentral:rRNA from 1 species
UACGGAGGGUGCAAGCGUUAUCCGGAUUCACUGGGUUUAAAGGGUGUGUAGGCGGGUAUUUAAGUCAGUGGUGAAAUCUCCAGGCUCAACCUGGAACUGCCAUUGAUACUAUUUAUCUUGAAUAUCGUUGAGGUUGGCGGAAUAUAUCAUGUAGCGGUGAAAUGCAUAGAUAUGAUAUAGAACACCGAUUGCGAAGGCAGCUAACUAAGCGAUUAUUGACGCUGAGGCACGAAAGCGUGGGGAUCAAACAGG